rnacentral:ncRNA from 1 species
CCUUUUUAUUAACCAUUACUUAUUUUACACAUGCAAGCAUCCGCAUACCCGUGAGAACGCCCUUCACCCCUACUAAGGAAAAGGAGCCGGUAUCAGGCACAAUACUAAGCCCACGACACCUAGCUACGCCACACCCACAAGGGAAUCAGCAGUGAUAAACAUUGAUAAUAAGCGCCAGCUUGAAUCAGUUAAAGUAAAGAGAGCCGGCAAAUUCGGUGCCAGCCGCCGCGGCUACACCGCUAGGCCCAAGUUGAUUGACAUCGGCGUUAAGCGUGAUUAAAGUAAAAUUAAUGAUUAGAGCUAAACUUUAGCCAAGUUGUGACACGCUUGUUAUUAAGAAAUCCAAAACGAAAGUUACUCUAACUAAUCCACUUGAUACCACGACAGUUAAAACACAAACUGGGAUUAGGUACCCCACUAUGUUUAACCGUAAAAUAUAAAUUCACAUUAAAAUCGCCAGGGAAUUACGAGCCCAAGCUUAAAACCCAAAGGACUUGACGGUGUCCCACCCACCUAGAGGAGCCUGUUCUAUAAUCGAUUCUCCCCGAUAAACCUCACCACUUCUAGCUUCUCAGCCUGUAUACCUCCGUCGUAAGCUUACCAUGUGAACGAACCAAGUGAGCCUAAAGGUCCUUCCACCCACACGUCAGGUCAAGGUGCAGCUUAUGAACUGGGAAGAAAUGGGCUACAAUUUCUACCAUAGAACAAACGAAAGACUACAUGAAACGCAGUCAUGAAGGCGGAUUUAGUAGUAAAAAGAGAAUAGAGAGCUCUUUUUAAUAAGGCGCUGGGACGCGUACACACCGCCCGUCACCCUCUUCAAACGC